rnacentral:lncRNA from 1 species
UAUUUCUGGGUAUGUCUGUGAGGGUGUCUCUGGAAGAUACUUGAAUCACAGGACUGAAUAAGGAAGAGCUGCCCUCAGCGUGGCCGGGCAACAUCUAAUCGGCUGAAAGCUUGGAUCGAAUGAAAAGGCAGAGGAAAGGUUCUGAAGACCUCAAAUGGACUGAGCCACACUACCAGCAUCCAGCAUCCAUGGUUCUCCAGUCUGCAGAUGGCCUAUUAUGGGACUUUUCAGUCUUCAUAAUUAUAUGAGAGAAAGAAAAUGAAAAGGAUUUGUAAACUAUAAAUCUCUAAACAGAUGGGAGGAAAGGAAUUGAUGAAACAAUAAAUUUAUUGAUGAAACAAUAAAAAUAAACAUAAAGAACC